AACCAUGCCCUUCGGGGCUCCUUGGUGAAUCAUAAUAACUUAGCGAAUCGCAUGGCCUUGCGCCGGCGAUGGUUCAUUCAAAUUUCCGCCCUAUCAACUUUCGAUGGUAGGAUAGUGGCCUACCAUGGUGGCAACGGGUAACGGGGAAUUAGGGUUCGAUUCCGGAGAGGGAGCCUGAGAAACGGCUACCACAUCCAAGGAAGGCAGCAGGCGCGCAAAUUACCCAAUCCCGACACGGGGAGGUAGUGACAAUAAAUACUGAUACGGGGCUCUUUUGGGUCUCGUAAUUGGAAUGAGUACAAUCUAAAUCCCUUAACGAGGAACAAUUGGAGGGCAAGUCUGGUGCCAGCAGCCGCGGUAAUUCCAGCUCCAAUAGCGUAUAUUAAAGUUGUUGCAGUUAAAAAGCUCGUAGUUGAACCUUGGGUCUGGCUGGCCGGUCCGCCUCACCGCGAGUACUGGUCCGGCUGGACCUUUCCUUCUGGGGAACCUCAUGGCCUUCACUGGCUGUGGGGGGAACCAGGACUUUUAC
rnacentral:rRNA from 1 species